ensembl:lncRNA
GACCUGGGGCUAGGGUUUGAGAACAGUAACUGAGUUAGAAAACAUCUAAGUUGCUGUGUUACCUUUGAGAACGACCAAGGUCUUUUUUUUUUUCUUAUGUUUUUCAUUAAAGUGCUCUAUUCUACUUUGAAUCCUGAAGAUGAAAAUGUGGCUUUCACAAAACUAUUGAGAGGCACAUACAGUUGUACACAUACAAACUUGUGCACAUACACCCCUGAGGUUUUCUCAGCAACUUUACAUCAGUUGUUUCUUUAACCUAAGAAAAACCUUGAAUAAGAUCUGAAAUAGACAGUUCAGCAGGUGCUCAAAAGAAAGGCAAAUCAAGUAAACAGUCUGUGCAGUUGCAAAAAAAAAAAGCUGUGCAUGGGCUUGCAUGGGACUGGCUGUUGCAAUAUUUUCUUGAUGGUAAAUAUGUCAAAGGUUCUUCCAAUUGGAUUGAUUUUAAGUACUUUUGGAAACAAAUUAACUUAAUUCAAUCUAUUGUUCCAUAAAAAUAUAUUUUUUUAACUGAUUACAAUAGAGGGAAGACAUAACUAAAAUAUCAACAACUUCUGAGACUGCAACCUCUGGGUCCAGGGGUCAAGGAUUGAUUCAUCUUAAGUAUGACAAAUAUGAAUCUGGCCUUCUUUAAUGACCCACUUUUAGAAGGCAAGGAUAUGUCUAGUAAUGCUUUUGUGUGCAUCCUCCAUUGAGCUUCUUUGCUUAUUACUAAGCUUGAUUUUAAAGUACUUGUUUAAUAGAAACUAGUCUAUUGCCAGCCACUAGUCUAUGUUAGUGGUUACCCUCCGAGGACACAGAUGCCAUGCCUCUAAGUCUGUGCUGUCAAAAGGGAACUAGAUUCAAAUAAAAUGUGUGGCAAUGCCAACCUUGUUUCAUCUUUGGCUCUUUCCCUGUUUCUAGGAAGUCUCAUACAUGGAUCUCUGCACUAAAAAUGUAUAACCUUUGAUUUCAUAGACCUUAACUUUCUAGUGACUUUUUACCAUGGCAGAUGGAAGAAAAUACAGAAGAAAUCUCUGGUUAAAAAUGGCAAGAAAGUUAAAAACAGUGAGACCAGUAUUCAUUUAUUAAGUAGCAUAAAAUGGUGUCCCAGGAGAAAUGUUCAUGAAUCCUGCCGUCACACAAUAUGGAAAAAUUGGCAUGACUGAUUACCUAAUAUCCUGCAUUUAAUUUCUACUUCCAGUAAAAGUGUAUAUUCAUCAGGUGACUUCAGAAAAAUAGAACUAAGGUCGAGGAAUGAUGCAUACAGAGAUAGAAAAUGUAUGCCAUGGGUCAUAUUGCUACUGGUGACUAUUUUUGGUCAUGGGUAGAAAAUGUGAAUGUUGACAUAAGUGUGCGUGGGGUAUGUGAGUAACUCUAGGAAAAGUGUAGCUGAUUUUCUUAGCGGUAGAAAUGCAACAUUUCUAAAUUAAAUGCAGUAAUACAGUGUUAAGCAGAGUGAUUAAAGCAACUCAAUUACUUAAUUAUAAGCAACAAGUACUUAAUUAUAAGGUAUCUGGAAAGCAGAAUGUGGGGUUACUCUCUGCUACAGGUUGAUGGCAUUUGACACAUUUAAAAGGCAAGUAGACAGUUCUUUCUUAUCAGUGAAGCAUAGAUGUAGUAUGAUACAAGUUUCAUGUGAUAAUGGAAAGUCUAUAGACUCUGGAGGCAGAGAAGUUACAUUUGAAGUUUGGCCAGGAUCUCACACUUCUGAACUGUGUGACCUGGAGGAUGGAAGCAUUGAAGAGAGUUUUAUAAGGAACUGUUCACAAAGAUGUGGGCAAACUCAGCAAUGGAUAGCUUGGUACUCCUGGGCUUACAACAGAUGGGAGCCAUUACCUUAUAUCUGGAGGGAUCAGAAAGGAACAAUUGACAGGAUUCUGAGGGCUGCCUGACAAGUAGCCUAUAAUAAAGGGACAUAGCCAGCUCACAGUGACCCUGCCAGGAGGGAUCUGGGGAGAAUAAAUACCCUGACCUCCCUCUCCCAGUUAGCCCUUGCAUCUACUGCCAGUUCUCCUUAAGACAAACCUUAUGGAAGGCACAAGGUAAAGACACAUAUCAGAGCAGGUUAUUAAAAGUCAACUUCUCGUAAGAUGGAGAGGGAACUCAGGAGAUCAGGAAGGGUGAUGGAAUACACCCAGCACCUAUACCCAUGUCUGUGACAUUAAAUCACCACAGAGAAGUUUUUAUCAUUCAAUUCCAGUCACCUGUAUACAUAUACAUCUAUUUUGGAAUUGUUUGUAGCACCCUCUCCAUCUUGACAAAGUCAGAAAAAGGAAACCAUCAAAUCCACUGUGUUUUCUUUUGCACCUUGGUUGUGAACAGGAAACCCUUGGAUCAUCAUAAUACAAUAAUAGUAACUAUAAUACCAAUAACUAUAACUGACUUAAUUUGUUUCCUGUUUCUCCUCAUGCUUUUUUAAAAACAUUUCUUUUUUUUUUUUCACAGCUUAACUGCACUGUUCACCAGUGGCUAUAUAUUCAUACUGACUGAAAUCCUUUACAGCUUCAUUCCCUCUUAGCUAUGUGCUCCUGGACAAAUGACUUAACGCUUUUUAAGUCUUAGCCUCCUUGUAUGAAAAAUUAAGCUAUCUCGAUAUAACAAAGCAAGUGGGCUUGUUGCUUGCUGCAAAAUGGAAAGACUGAGUACUGGGGCGAUGGCCUUUUGCAGAGAGGAAAGGCUUUCUUGCAGGGCAGCCAAGCAAGGAAGUGCUCAGCUCAGGGAAUGCUCCCCUCUGUCUCCCCCAUCUGCUCUUGAGUGGAAUAUUUAUAGUGAAAGUGAGGAGGAGGAGGAGGCUCGCAAUGAUUGGUGGAAAGUGAAGGUAAGUUUCAAGAGUUCACUGUGCAGCCCAGACUGUUCUUCAUGUCUCUUCAUGUGCAAAUUUGGGGCAUUCAGUGUGUUAUAAGCUGGGGAUUUUUGAUCUGCCUUUUUGACCUCUAAAGUUCACUCUGCUGGUCUAGUUUCUCAGUGUGCCUGUGCAAGGUUCGGCUGCCGGAUAUGUCAGCAAGUUGCUUCCCUGGUUCUCCGUAAAGGCCAGCUUGGAGGUCUUAGUGAAUCAUUUGGUUCCUAUUUUGUUUCUACUUUAUGGGCCUUGAAUGUGUGAGGUACAGGGUAUAGUUUCAUCAGUAUGUCUUAAAUAUUUUUUCACAAAGACAUAUAGGAAGAACUCAGUAACCAUUAGCUACAAUUAUUGCAUUUGAGAAGGUUUUUCAGAGUAAUUCACAAAUAAUAAUUUAUACGAAUGAUUUAUUUGUAUAAAUAAUAACAAAUUAUAAUAGAACCAUCCUUUCUUAAUCUGAACCCCCAAAUAAUCUAUUCCUCACUGUACUGUUGUGAAUAUCAAAAGAGAAAAAACACGGAGAGUUUUUGUAAUCGACAUCAUACUCAUAAAUGCCACUUCUUGUUAUCAUUGUUAUUAUUAGCAGAAAUAGACUCUCUCCUUUGUCAAUAAGUUCUCUCCAGAAGGAGGGGUGGACUGGCAAAGCUUUGAUCAUGUCUCAAAUGGCUCAGCACAGUCUGCCUUUUGUCCAAAAUACCAAAAGAAAGAGUUCAGUCAGUCACCACCUUUAUCACUCCCACUCUGGAAAAUGAGAACUUUGACUAAAAAGGAGACUGAAUUAGAAGCCCCUCUUUGCGGACCGAGAAUAGGAUUGUAAAAAUAAAGAAAUGAGGAUAAUGCUUUAUAAAUGUACUUGCCUAAAGAUGUUUUUCAGUGAUUGGAACUGAGAAAAGCCAAGCACUUUUCCAAGGUUAUAUUUUAGGUGAUAAUGUCAGCAAAGGAAAUGAGGAAGGACAAGCUAAGAAACAGCGGGAUAAUGAGGGCAUUUCUUUGGCAUAGAUAUUAACGUCCAGUAAACAAAGCAGUUAUGAUUUACUGUUCUUCCUUAAUGGAAGUAUUAAAAUAUGUAUAUGUUAUUUAUAAUGUAUACAAAGCUAUAUAGUUUAUAAUCUCCAAGCAGUACCCAUGUCUUUGAAAAGAAUAAAAUCCUGUGGUUAAUCAGUCUACUGAAAUACCCUUCCCUUAUGAUCCAUACUGGCUUAUAUGUAACCCCAUCAAAAAUACGUUGGCAUGUCUUCGAGGCGUAACAUAGGUUUGUGUGUGAGAGUGCAUGUGUGUACACGUGCGCCUGCUGGCAUGUGCCACAGAGUGCUGAUCUUUGAAAACGGGGAAAGAUUUGGGAAUCUUUAUGACCUGGAGGAAUAUGGGGUUGUCUUCCAGUUUGGGGCCUUUGAAUGUGCCUGUGUGUACUUUGUCGUGAAAGCUUUGCUGGAGUGGUCGAGUCGCAAUGAAGCACCUUCAGGUCCCGGUCCCAGGACAGUUGUGGAUGAACGCUGUGACUGCAGACAAAGUCAUUUAACCCCCCUGGAUCUCAGUGAAUUCAUCUGUAAAGCACUCAGGUUGACCUCUGUGAUCUCUAAGGUCCUUAGGAGAGGUAAAGUUUUAUGAUUCUCUGUGAGUUAAUUAUUGAGGUCUUUUGUGGUCAAGUUUGCAUCCCUCAUUGUUUGAGGCAGCAAUAAACAAGAAUAACCUCUGCUCCAAAAUUAGAAUAUUCUGUAACUUACUAGAAAUAGAUGAAAAUAUUCUAAGGAGAAUAAUGAUUACAUCAUUUGAUCUAGGCAUGAAGCUGAAAAAAUUCAAAACAAAGCCUAUUUACCAUCUCCUUAAGUGUUUCCCUUGUUCAAAAACAAAUCAAGACUGAGACUCGUUAUUCCCUACAGCUCAAAGCUACAUAACGCUGUGGGUGCUCUGUUAAUGCCUUUGCUGUGGUCUGACAUAGUCUUUGGAUCUGCCUCUGUUCCUUGUCAGCACCAGUGAUAAAGCCUGCUUUAUUUUACACAGAGAGUGGAUUUAAAAGAAAGGCAUGACAGCAUCUUCUCUGUGGCUGAGAUUUCUUUGGUCACACGUUAUAUCUCACUUCCCUAGUGUGAGGCCACUGGCCUGUGUUCCAACUUUAAUUCCCUCACAGAUGUUAAAGAGACUAAUAAUAUCCCCAGAGCCUGUCUCAGACAGAAUAGCACGAGAGACAAAGGCUGUCUCUGGGACAUUUUAACUUCCCUUUUCAGAACCAUCACCAAGUGCCUAGCUUGUGCCCCACUCUCUCAGGGCUGGAUUUGGAUACUGUAUUUUCUGUUACCUGGCAAGUAUUUAAGCUGGUGCCCACUCAAGGGAGUUUGCCUUAUGGUAGUGUGUUCUCAGCGCUAAAAAAAAAAUAAUUAAAAAAAAAAAA